rnacentral:rRNA from 1 species
CAAUAGCGUAUAUUAAAGUUGUUGCAGUUAAAAAGCUCGUAGUUGGAUUUGUGGCGUACGGUGUGUUCCGGGCACUUGUUGUCUGAGUAACCUGCUGUUGCCAUCCUUGGGUGGAACCUGUGUGGCAUUAGGUUGUCGUGCAGGGGAUGCCCAUCAUUUACUGUGAAAAAAUUAGAGUGUUCAAAGCAGGCUUAUGCCGUUGAAUAUAUUAGCAUGGAAUAAUGAGAUAGGACUUUUUUGCUAUUUUGUUGGUUUGCGCAAAGAGGUAAUGAUUACUAGGGACAGUUGGGGGUAUUCGUAUUCCAUUGUCAGAGGUGAAAUUCUUGGAUUUUUGGAAGACGAACUACUGCGAAAGCAUUUACCAAGGAUGUUUUCAUUAA